GCGGGAGUAGCUCAGGUGGUUAGAGCAUCAGCCUUCCAAGCUGAGGGUCGCGAGUUCGAAUCUCGUCUCCCGCU
rnacentral:tRNA from 1 species